rnacentral:rRNA from 1 species
GAUGAACGCUGGCGGCGUGCCUAACACAUGCAAGUCGAACGGAGAUUACAGACGGAAGUUUUCGGAUGGAAGACUGUAAUUCUUAGUGGCGGACGGGUGAGUAACGCGUGGGCAACCUGCCCUAUACAGGGGGAUAGCAGCUGGAAACGGCUGGUAAGACCGCAUAAGUCGGUUAAAUCGCAUGAUUUGACCGGGAAAUGAGCAAUCAGGUAUAGGAUGGGCCCGCGUCCGAUUAGCCAGUUGGCAGGGUAAAAGCCUACCAAAGCAACGAUCGGUAGCCGGACUGAGAGGUCGGACGGCCACAUUGGGACUGAGACACGGCCCAAACUCCUACGGGAGGCAGCAGUGGGGGAUAUUGCACAAUGGAGGAAACUCUGAUGCAGCGACGCCGCGUGAGUGAAGAAGUAUUUCGGUAUGUAAAGCUCUAUCAGCAGGGAAGAU